AUUGAACGCUGGCGGCAGGCCUAACACAUGCAAGUCGAGCGGAUGAAGGGAGCUUGCUCCUGGAUUCAGCGGCGGACGGGUGAGUAAUGCCUAGGAAUCUGCCUGGUAGUGGGGGAUAACGUCCGGAAACGGGCGCUAAUACCGCAUACGUCCUGAGGGAGUAAGUGGGGGAUCUUCGGACCUCACGCUAUCAGAUGAGCCUAGGUCGGAUUAGCUAGUUGGUGGGGUAAAGGCCUACCAAGGCGACGAUCCGUAACUGGUCUGAGAGGAUGAUCAGUCACACUGGAACUGAGACACGGUCCAGACGCCUAGGGGAGGCAGCAGUGGGGAAUAUGGGACAAUGGGCGAAAGCCUGAUCCAGCCAUGCCGCGUGUGUGAAGAAGGUCUUCGGAUUGUAAAGCACUUUAAGUUGGGAGGAAGGGCAGUAAGUUAAUACCUUGCUGUUUUGACGUUACCAACAGAAUAAGCACCGGCUAACUUCGU
rnacentral:rRNA from 1 species